ACUAAACAUUAUAAAUUAAUUUUACUAUACCCCGACUGUACUCGUGUUCAUUUAGUUACACAAUAUCACCGUGCAUACCUUAUGCUCUACAAGAAAUCUGUUCACUCCACCCAACACGAGUUUGCAUUGUUCAAUUGUAUCCCGUAAACGGAGUUAGACGCUAAACAUAAAGUUUUUAAUUUUUCUCACACUAUUGUCUAAAAAUGAAGAAAUUUUAGCAAAUAGAAACCACAAAUUGUUAUGUCUUACCCUUACUUCAGUAAAACGUAGGAAGACUUUUUUCGUGGUUGAUUUGUUACAUUAAAGCAAUGUAAUCGCAGUUUAUGGUUGUACUAGAAAUGCCAUUAAGCAUUACUUUGGGGUGGCUCACAUCAUCUACGCCUCACCGUAAAAUGUCAGCGAGCGAUAGAGAA